AGAGAAUCAAGGUCCAGAUUAUUUGAGAUAUGACUAAAUUCUAUUUGCUCAAAAAAAAAAACAUCUAAUAUUAUGUAACUAUAUCAACAACCCUCAAUGGGAGAAUGAGAAGAAUCUCCAACAAGAACAGUUACAAAAAUUUAAUAAAAGAAGCAAAUAAAUCCCUAAUACAUAAAAGAUAAAAAUAUAUGUUUUUAUUGAUGAAAAUCCACUGCAUUUGUCCAGUGCCCACCCUCCAAUUUGCAGAAAAAAAGAUAUAAUAAAAGUUACAUUUAAUGACAUGGGAUAGUAAUCAUUUCACAUAGUAAUGCAUACAUAGGAAAGGUUUUUAGAACAUUUUUCCAAACUCUUCAGACACUAAUGGAGUCUUGGUAACUAUUUUAUAAUAAUAGUGUUAGGAAUAUUAACAAAAUAGAACGAGAUUUGUGAAAGACAAAUAUCAUUUCUUUUUCACCACUCUGUGGGUAGUUCCGGACCUAACCCUGAGAAGGCACCACAAGAAUGCACAAUCCUAUUUCCAGAAGCCUAAGGGGUUUCCAUUAUCUAGAUGAUCAUUGCAGAAAAAUAACCUGGUAUCCUGCAGCAAGGCGCAUGAAGGAAGACAUUGGCUCAAAGGCAAAGAAAAAAGAAAAACAAUGAAUAGAAUGACAAGAUUAUCUUGUCAAACAAAUCCAACUGCAUGUCUUUAAAACAUAUUAAGAAUUGAAUAUUUUAUUAAAUCCAUGUAGGAUAAAGGCCAGAGUUUAAUGAAGAUUCCAAUAAGCAAAAUGUGGAAAUGUCAUUAAGAGUAGAUUCUCAUUAUUGUUGCAGGGCUAUAUGGAUCCUGAAUAUUUCAUGACCCAGCAG
rnacentral:misc_RNA from 1 species